rnacentral:lncRNA from 1 species
AAAUACCUUAAAUCUUAGAUUCAACUCCGCGAGUAAUCUUUUUGGUGAAUAGAGGUAUAAAUGGGAGGGACAGCAAAGCCAAUGUGUUGGGCCAAGCUAGUACCUUUCAUUUCAUAUAUACUUGCAGGAUAAGUAGGUUCUUUUGUUCUCCCUGAACAAAUGUGUGCAUCGAAUUUUAAUAAAUAAACCUCUCUAUUUAGCUUUUCCCCUCUAAGCUGAAAUUUCUCCUCCCUUGUCUCUUUUCUUGUUCUCCCUAGCUUAAUUUCCAUUACUAUUAUUUUGGUGGGUGUUUGAGUAGUUGAUGGAUAUUGAUCUCUGGUGGACUCUUGGGGGGUGUUAUUUUUUCUAUCAGAUUAUUGCAUGGCAACAUUGAAACCCUCAUUUAUCUGUCAAACUUUCUUUUAUUUCAUUACCCUUUUCUUCAUUUUCCUCAUCCUUGUCCAUUCUAAUGAUGAUGCUUUCAAGAAUUCAGAUCCUAAGUAUUCAUCUGCUUUUACUACUACUAGUACUACUAGAGCUACAAUGAGGUUGUAUCCAAGAAAAAUCCCGAAAAAUCAUCACGAGGCAGAAUAUGGUGCUGCUGCUCAUGAAGUUCCUAGUGGUCCAAAUCCUAUAUCAAACAGGUAAUUAUUAAAGGAAUACAUGGAGUUAAAGACUAUAUCAGAAGAAUGGAAGCUUGAAGAAUAUUAUGAGAGUUUGUAACGGCAGGUGAUUGCUUGUUUUUUAUGUCCCUGCAGAAAACGGGUAUUCACCAUUAAUACUACUUGUCUUCUUCGUCACAAGUUUGUUACCAUAAGCCUUGUUGUUAUCGUCACCAUUCUUAGCGAGCCUUAAUUAAUUCCCCUCCUUUUUCUGUUUUGUACUUGUAUAGCGCAUGAGACAUUUUACUACUAUAUUAGUAUAUACAGAUAUAAAGUCAUCGAUAUAAAUCAUUUGUUGUGUCAUGAACAUAUAUAUCAAUCGUUGUUGUUUUAUGAAUCCAUUAGUGAAUUGCCCUUUUCUUUCGUUAUUACUACACAAAAACAAAAUAUCUGACGUUUGCCUGGAGUUUUUGUCUCGUCCAUGUUUACUAAAAUUGAGUUUUUGAAUUUAUUUAAUGAAUUUUAUUGUUAAAAAAUGGUUUGCUAACCCUAUAUCAUGUGAUGACCAUGGGAUUUGAUUGUUUCAUCCUCUGGAUCAUUAGUUGAUGUCAUAUGAAGCUUUUAGAUUGAUUAUCUGUUGUUAAAGUUAUCUUUAAUUAUGUUCUCAGUAAAUAAAUUAAAAGUUUAAAAAGAAAUUGAAGCAUAUAAAUGAACAUAUAUGGUUGUUGACUGGAUCUAGUUUAUGGUGACUAGGGUUUUUUAAGUUUAGAGAAGGAAAGACGGCAAAUCUUCAUGGGGAUUGCGUAUGUGGGGUGAAUAGGAGAAGAGGGACCCCUUUGUCAUUAAAAUUACUUCACUACUUAGGACAAUUUGCUUUUUGUCUUCUCAGUGCACAAACUUCAAGAAAGCUGAUGCCUAAUCAGCAUAUAUAUUACGAGGCCGUGAUUUGAUAAUCGGCAUAUUAUGAGGCCAUGAUUUGAUAAUAGGAAAAAAGAAAUUCUAUAUCCUUUCUAAAAAAUAAUAGUUUAAAUUUGAGCAUCAGUCCUUUCCUUUGUUCAUUGGGCUAUUUUCGGCCCUUUCCUUGGCCAUUCGACGCUUUACUUCUUUUUUUUCUUCUAAAAAUUACAUAAAUACACAACUUAUGUUUUCAAUAUUAUAAAAAAUCUCAACUCCCUAAAUAUAUUACAAAAAUCUAAACAUAUACACAAAAUACUAUGUAUAUGUCAGCUAUGUUAUGUAUAUUAAUAAGAAGAGAGAGUAAAGUAAUUAAAAAAAUGAGAGAGAGUGUAAUUACUUCCAAAAGGAUUGGUAUUUAUGUUAUUUAUAUUUUUUUUUCUACAAAAUUUUUAGCUGAAAAAUAUUUUAUAUUUUUAUUAGAAAAAAUAAUAAUUAAAUAUAAUUAUAUAAAAAAGAUAUAAUUGUUAUAUAAAUAUGUAUCUAUAUAAGAUUUAUAUAUAUAUAUAUAUGUAUAUAGAAAUUAUAUAGUUCUAUAAAAUAUAUAUAUAUAUAUGUAUGUAUAAAAUAUAUAUAUAUAAAAAAAUUGUAUAAAAUGUCUAUAGAAAUUUAUAGUUGAUGUAUAAAAUACACAUUCGAAUAAUAUUUGCAGCUAAAGGUUGUAUAGAAUGUGUAUAAAAACUAUAUGGUAUAUAGAAACUGUAUCAUUGUUCUAUAAAAUCUGUAUAUGUAUAAAAUUUGUAUAGAAACUAUAUAAUUAUUGUAUUAAAUGUGUAUAAAAUUGUAUAAUUGCUGUAUAAAAUAUGUAUGAAACUAUAUAUAUAAGGUGUAUAGAAACUGUAUCAUUAUUGUAUAAAAUUUCUAUAUGUAUAAAAUAUGUAUAGAGGUAUAAUAAUUGUAUAUAACAUGUAUCUAAAUAAUUACCAAUAUGAUAUAGGGGGUGUAUCAAUAUGAUUAUAGGGAUUUUAUCGAUAUGGUAUAAUGAUUGUAUCAAUAUGGUAUAGUAUAUGAUUUUUUUUGUCUAUGAUGUGUGUAGUACAUGAUGUACGUAGAAACUAUAUCAUUCUGGUAUAAAAAUAUUUAUAUCACUAUUAUAUUAUGUUGUAUAUAUGUAGACAUGUAUUCUAUUGUUCCACAAUAAUACAAUUAAAAAAAUAUAUAUAUAUAUUUUUUAAAAUAUAAAUAGCUGCAAGAAAAAAAGUUCGAGCCUGAAACCUCAAAAUACACCCAAUUUCAAACAAAACUCAAUUUCAAUUGGAGUUGUUGUUUGCAUGAAUGAGCAAAUGAAAAAAAUUUAAUUGGUAUUCAUGAUUAAUUGGAGAAGAAAGUCAAUUGUGGGUUCAUGUUCAUGAUGAUGUUUACUGAAAUUAAAAAUUAAUAGAAAGUUUUUUUUUUUUUUUAAAAAAAAGGAGUAGGAAAAUACAAAAUCACCAAAUUUUAUUUUUUUUAAAAAAAAAAGAGAAAGUCAAAGAAAGCGGCGUAAACUACCAAAAUGGCUAAGAAAUGAAAUUUGAAUUCAAGAGCUAUUUUGGUGGAAAUACUUUGGUCCGACUGGCCAUUUUUGUCCUUCUCCCUUGAUAAUAAUCAUAUACUAUGAUUAAUUAUUUUACAUUUUUCAUCCACGUAUUUUGUACAUCAAAUUUAUGGAUUCGUUUGUCCAAAGAACUUAUUUCUUUUAUUUUUCUUUCAAAAUAAUAUUUGGUUAUAUAUUGGAUUGACUUUUAAAAUUUUUUGAAAAGAGAAUUUUUGAAUAGAAUUUUCAAGUGAAUUUUUUUCCAAGAAAAUAAGCAACGAAUCUGAUACUUACGACACUCAGGUAUGCUUCUCCUUUUCAUUAGUGCUUCACAUUUUUCAUCCUUAAAUAUUCUAUAUAUAUCAAAUCACUUUUACUAAGUUUUUAAAGUUAUGUGCACAUCCAAAUACGCAUAAUACAUAAACAUCCCCUUUAACAUAACCUUAAAUCUCAUUUAUAAUCUUCAACUUUGUGUGUGUAUAAGUAGACAUUUAAACUUAUAUAAAGUUGAACAAGUAGACAUACACGUUCUAUGUGGCAUAAUAUCAUAGGACGCCAUAUAGGAGAGGAAUUGGCCACGUAGGACACCACAUAGGACAUAUGUGUCUAUUUGUUCAACUUUAUACAAGUUCAAGCGCCUACUUAUGCACUCUCAAAGUUAGAGGUUAUAGAUGUAAUCUGAGACCAAGUUAAAUGACAUAUUUAUGUAUUGUGCCCAUUUAAAUAUGAGUUAAUACAUAAAAAUGACCCUAAACUUGACACCAAAUUAUAAUUUUGACCUUAAACUUUGAUAGUGCACAAAUAAGACCUUUAACUAUUCAAAACUUGAACAAAUAUGACCUCCGAUUUUGCAACCCCAUGCGUGAGUUUCACUCGCGCCUACGUGGAAAGGUAAUCCAAUCACACGGUGCCACAUCGUUAAAAGGGCUGACUUGGAGGAGGUCAUAGUUGUGGAGUUUUGAAUAGUUAAAGGUCAUAUUUGUGCACUGUCAAAGUUUUGCUUUUUGUGCUAAAAAGACGUCGUUUUUAUUAUUAUUAUUAUUAUUAUUAUUAUUAUUAUUAUUAUUAUUAUUAUUUUUAUUUCUAUAGCUGCAACACCUAAGUUUUUUUUUUAAUUAAAAAAUCGAACCUGCGCAGUAGGCUGAAGGAAGCAUCCAAGAAGAGAAAAUAACACUACUGGACUAUCUAAGUGUCUUGUUUCAUGUGGUUCAAUAUUAAUAUAUGUAUAUAAAUAUAAAUUUUCUACCUUAUAUAUAUAAAGUAAUUUAUUUACCGAGGGGGUUCGGGUGUACCCCAUGGCAACCACGUAGGUCCGCCCCUGCAUUAAUUUAAUAAUGUUUUAAUAACGUUAAUUUAAUAACAUUGUAAUAACAUUAAUUUGAUAAUGUUAAUUUAAUAUACUGCUACUACUAUCCUUAAUUAUGUUAAUUUAAUAACGUUUUAUUAAAACUAUAAUUUUAUUAUUAUUAUUAUUAUUAUAGUUUUAUCUUUAAUUUAAUAGUUAAAUAAAUUAUAUUUAGAUAUAUUAUAUAACUUAAAUUCGCCCUCUGCUUUAUAAUAUAUAUACAUACUUGUGUGAUUUUUUCGUAUGAGGCUGACCCACAUAAUUAAUAAAUCUCCGCAAUGACAAAAGAAAUUAGAUGUCAUUUUCAUCUUUGAGCCAAAAAAUAAUAAAAAAAUAAUAGUGAAAAGUCAUUUAAAUGUCAUAUUUGUGCAGUUUUAAAUAGUUAAAGGUCAUAUUUGUGCGCUGUCAAAGUUUAAGGUCAUAUUUAUGUAUUAUGCCCUUAGAUUUUAAGCUGGCCGCGCCCAGUUUUGCAUAUUGAACACGCGUUUUGCCACGUAGGAUUGGAAGUUAUAUUUGUGCAGUUUUGAAAAGUUAAAGGUCAUAUUUGUGCACUGUCAAAAUUUAAGGUCAAAGUUAUAAUUUGAUGUUAAGUUUAGGAUCAUUUUUAUGUAUUAACUCUUUAAAUAUACCUUUAACUUUUAUAUCUUUUUUUAAAUAUAAAUUCAAAUAUUACAGUUUUUAUGAACAAAUGCAUACUAAUGGUUAAUUAAAAGGAAAAUAAGGAAUAUAUUCGAAUAAAGGAACAUCUCAGCUUUUCCUCAAGCAAAUCUAAUGCUACGGUGGAUUUCUCUUUAUUCUUUUGUGGUCCUUUAUUUAUAUAUGUUUGUCAAUAAUAAAAUAAAUAUAUGUCUUGGCCAGCUUGAUGAUAAAAAGCACUCACAAAAGGAGAAUCCAAUUGUUGCUUACCUUGGGAGAUACUGUGCAAAAUUUCUUCUGUACACGUUCAUAGUAGUUCCUCCAUCUAUAUAACUACAUAUUUCUAAACAGUUCCAUUUGAAGUUCUCAUGACUUUUUGAAGAAAAUCAAGUACAUACAGCAUCCAGGGGCAUAUUCGCGGUGCAGGUGUAGCUUUUCGAGAACUCAGUAAUUUUAAUUUUAAUUCUAUAUAUACACUAAGUAAUUUUAUUAAAUAUGUAAAAUUUAUUUUUUGAGAAUUUUGUAACAAAGUAAAUCAGAGGCAAAUUCAGGAUUUGAAAGUUUCGGAUGCCACACAAGUUUGAAGAACAGUGUACAUUGUAUUUUGCA